rnacentral:misc_RNA from 1 species
AAAAUGCGAUAAGUAAUGUGAAUUGCAGAAUUCAGUGAAUCAUCGAAUCUUUGAACGCACAUUGCGCCCGCCAGUAUUCUGGCGGGCAUGCCUGUUCGAGCGUCAUUUCAACCCUCAAGCCCCCGGGUUUGGUGUUGGGGAUCGGGCUGCGGUUCUACCGCGUCCCGGCCCCGAAAUCUAGUGGCGGUCUCGCUGCAGCCUCCAUUGCGUAGUAGCUAACACCUCGCAACUGGAACGCGGCGCGGCCAAGCCGUUAAACCCCCAACUUCUGAAUGUUGACCCCGGAUCAGGUAGGAAUACCCGCUGAACUUAAGC